GGUUUAGCUCAGUUGGUAGAGCACUGGUCUCCAAAACCAGGUGUCGGGAGUUCGAGUCUCUCAACC
rnacentral:tRNA from 9 species